rnacentral:rRNA from 1 species
GUGUCAGCAGCCGCGGUAAUACGUAGGUGACGAGCGUUGUCCGGAUUUACUGGGCGUAAAGAGCGCGCAGGCGGUCGUACAAGUCGAGUGUGAAAGCCCCCGGCUCAACUGGGGAGGGUCGCUCGAUACUGUUCGACUCGAAGGCGGGAGAGGGAUGUGGAAUUCCCGGUGUAGUGGUGAAAUGCGUAGAUAUCGGGAGGAACACCAGUGGCGAAGGCGACAUCCUGGCCCGUUCUUGACGCUGAGGCGCGAAAGCUAGGGGAGCAAACGGGAUUAGAUACCCCCGUAGUCC